CCUACGGGGGGCUGCAGUGAGGAAUAUUGGUCAAUGGCCGCAGGGCUGAACCAGCCAAGUCGCGUGAGGGAUGACGGUCCUAUGGAUUGUAAACCUCUUUUGUCAGGGAGCAAAGGGCGCCACGUGUGGCGUUUUGCGAGUACCUGAAGAAAAAGCAUCGGCUAACUCCGUGCCAGCAGCCGCGGUAAUACGGAGGAUGCGAGCGUUAUCCGGAUUUAUUGGGUUUAAAGGGUGCGCAGGCGGAAUGUCAAGUCAGCGGUAAAAUUUCGGGGCUCAACUCCGGACGUGCCUCUAAUACUGGAUGACUAGAGAAUAGAUGCGGUAGGCGGAAUGUAUGGUGUAGCGGUGAAAUGCGUAGAGAUCAUACAGAACACCGAUUGCGAAGGCAGCUUACCAAACUAUAUCUGACGUUGAGGCACGAAAGCGUGGGGAGCAAACAGGAUUAGAUACCCUUGUAGUC
rnacentral:rRNA from 1 species